GACUGAAGUCACUCAUCUCUGACUAGGCUGGGUCAGGCCUGGUCAGUAUUUGGAUGGGAGACAGUCUGGGAAUGUCAGGUACUUUUGCUA
rnacentral:rRNA from 1 species